UAACAGAGGAUGCAAGCGUUAUCCGGAAUGAUUGGGCGUAAAGCGUCUGUAGGUGGCUUUUAAGUCCGCCGUCAAAUCCCAGGGCUCAACUCUGGACAGGCGGUGGAAACUACCAAGCUGGAGUACGGUAGGGGCAGAGGGAAUUUACGGUGUAGGCGGUGAAAUGCGGUAGAUAUCGUAAGGAAGACCAGUGGCGAAGGC
rnacentral:rRNA from 1 species